GAUGAACGCUGGCGGCGUGCCUAAUACAUGCAAGUCGAGCGAACGGACGAGAAGCUUGCUUCUCUGAUGUUAGCGGCGGACGGGUGAGUAACACGUGGAUAACCUACCUAUAAGACUGGGAUAACUUCGGGAAACCGGAGCUAAUACCGGAUAAUCUUUUGAACCGCAUGGUUCAAAAGUGAAAGACGGUCUUGCUGUCACUUAUAGAUGGAUCCGCGCUGCAUUAGCUAGUUGGUAAGGUAACGGCUUACCAAGGCAACGAUGCAUAGCCGACCUGAGAGGGUGAUCGGCCACACGGGAACUGAGACACGGUCCAGACUCCUACGGGAGGCAGCAGUAGGGAAUCUUCCGCAAUGGGCGAAAGCCUGACGGAGCAACGCCGCGUGAGUGAUGAAGGUCUUCGGAUCGUAAAACUCUGUUAUUAGGGAAGAACAUAUGUGUAAGUAACUGUGCACAUCUUGACGGUACCUAAUCAGAAAGCCACGGCUAACUACGUG
rnacentral:rRNA from 1 species